CAGCUGCUGUUUAGACCAUUGUUAAAUAAAUAUGAGAAAGAAACGCUAGCUAGACCCAGUAGGGUCUGGUGAAGGAGUGUAACGACAACACUAUGGGAGCCUUCACGUACGGAACCCACCGCAACUUCAAAGAUUGUGAUGAGUAUCUUCUAUUAUUGUGCACACUGGUCUUCUUGUCUCGAUGGGAGAUGAUGAAACGCCUGCCUGAUGAGGGGACGUGAGGUGAAUGACCUAGGCAUUGCAACAUGGUAUUAGGCUACCGCUGACCUUCCAUCAGGAGGUUGGAAGGAGGCUCAUCACCUCUGGACUAUGACUGAUGCGGAUGACAAUGAUGACUUCCCUACAAUGGCAGAAUGUCAAUUCAUUAUCAAACAUGAACUUGAAAAUCUUAGAGCCAGAGAUGAAAAGAUGAUCCCUGGUUACCCCCAGGCAAAGUUGUAUCCCGGAAAGUCGUUAUGUAAGUCCCUGCAUCACCCACUCGGUGGAUACACGUUCUAAUGCAGUUGUGUUGCUUAGUGCAGUUGUGUUGCUUAGUAGACGUGAAUAACAAGUUAAAGAAGCACUGCUUGUUUUUCCUCUUACUGAAAAACAUAUAGAACUUUACAAUAACAUAUUUUCAUGAACCCAUCUUUUGCCAUUAGAGCCUCAUUGUAUUGUACCUUCAGACAAAUAUAUUUGUUCUAUAUA